AAAAAGCUAUCAUUUUUCUCUUCCCCUUCACCAAAAUAUGCAGCAAAGAAAGGGUUUUGAAGCUGGAAAUUUCAGCAACAUAUUUCCCUUGCUUAUGAUGAAAAUUGAGAUUUGGACCUAGAACGGAAAGAAAUCGAUUUAUGGACGAGUAUGUCUUUUCACCUUUGUGGUAUCGAGAGUUUCUAGGUUAGCUCGGGUUGGAGGCCGUCAGAGAUAUUAUCACCCUAUCGAGUUAACGUUAUCGGAGUAAGUAAACUCAAGUGAUUCGAGUCUAUGGCAUGUAUAGGGUUUUAAUGUGAGUAUGUAAUAUUAUGAUUUAGCCAAAGGCAUUGGCUUGUUAUUAAGGUAGUAUAUGUAAAUUGGCCUAUGUCGGCUAAUAUCGUUAUGGGCCCAUAUGAUUAUUCUUAUGCAUUUAUGUUAUUAUUUCUUGUGAUGUGGCUUACAAUAUGUAUGCCUAGAGAUUGAAUUGAGAUUCACUGAUGAGCUAGUAACUAAUGCAGAAUUAAGUGAUUAGUAAAUAGUUAAUAAUGCUUCAUGAAUGGUUUGUGAUGUAAUGAUAGUUAUGUCUAGUAUGUGGUAAUGAUAUGGGCAAAUUCUAUAAUAUUUAUUGCAUAAGAAAAUAACUUGAGCAUAA